GUGGGGAAUAUUGGACAAUGGGCGCAAGCCUGAUCCAGCCAUGCCGCGUGAGUGAUGAAGGCCUUAGGGUUGUAAAGCUCUUUCACCGAUGAAGAUAAUGACGGUAGUCGGAGAAGAAGCCCCGGCUAACUUCGUGCCAGCAGCCGCGGUAAUACGAAGGGGGCUAGCGUUGUUCGGAUUUACUGGGCGUAAAGCGCACGUAGGCGGUUUGUUAAGUCAGGGGUGAAAUCCCGGAGCUCAACUCCGGAACUGCCUUUGAUACUGGCAAGCUAGAGUCCGGAAGAGGUAAGUGGAACUCCUAGUGUAGAGGUGGAAUUCGUAGAUAUUAGGAAGAACACCAGUGGCGAAGGCGGCUUACUGGUCCGGAACUGACGCUGAGGUGCGAAAGCGUGGGGAGCAAACAGGAUUAGAAACCCUAGUGUCC
rnacentral:rRNA from 1 species